CCUUCAUUUCAAUUUCUAAUAUUAGAAAAUUUGACAGUGCUGCUGCUUCGUCUGUCUUUCAGACGGAGACAGAGACGGAGACGGAGACGGACACCGAGACGGAGUGGAAGAGGAAGGCGGAGACGAAGGGCAGACGGACGUGCAGCAAGCACACUUUCAUUUUGAUUGCCCGUCUAAGUCCCCAACAUCUUCCACUUCAACGGGCUUCCACGCGACCCACCAAUAUUUUCAACCUGUGCCCAGCCCUUUUUCUGGCUUUCAUUUAAUUUGUCUGCGUUGUUUGUGCAACACUUCAGUGCGACGAACUGAAGCUGAUGCUGAUGCUGAAUCUGAAGCUGGAAAUGGAGCUGGAGCUGGAGCUGGAGCGUCGACCAAAGCAGGAGACGUCGACGUCGCCGACUCUUUAUAGCUCCUUUUCGAUUGCCUUGCCUGUCAACACUGGUCAUCGAUGAAAACAACGCUUCGAAAAUGUGCGAGAGUGAACGACCUACAUAAAUAUACAUACGUUCACAUGUAUGUAGUUGAAAGUGAAAUUUUUCCACAGUACCAGACAGCACACCAACACAUACAUACAUGUACAUGCGCCGAAGUUGGAGGAAUUCGUUGACAAGGGACUAUGAUAUCAUUGACAUUCAUUGGAUUUGACGGCCGUUUGCACCUGAUGCCAACACAAACACACGACGAGAGAUACCCGAGAAGUGUUUUUUGUUGGGGGUCAUAUUCAAAUGCAGUAAGUCUAGCGAACUCGAAAGCCAUUUAACGAAUUGCGAAGCCAAGAAAACAUAUUUUACACGAAACGCCCCAUUCAAUUCAAAAAUAUAAAUGAUAAUAGGAUUGACGGUGGUUCACCCUAAAAUUUGAUAUGCAAACAAAAAUUCGAUACGCUGAGAUUGUUAAUAAGCUGAAUAUGAAUUUCAAUUAAAUUUGGGUUAAGUUGUCUCGGAACUUAAAAACCUGCAAUGGAAGAGUUUUUCUUA